AUGCCCUGCCUUCAUCAUGCAGUAACUCUUCCUGGGGCCAACUUCCCCUUGUGCAUGGAGUCCUGCUUUGGACAGUCUGCGUCCCCUCCAAGAUUCACCGUGAAAUUCAAUCCUUCUUGGGAUGGGAAUAGGAGAAACCUGACAGCGUAAUUGCGGGGGCUUUUGAAGAAAAAGACGGCAACUUCCAGAAAUGAGUCCUGUGGUUUAGAAAAAAAAGCACCUGACCUUAUGGUGUGAGCUCCUCUUGUUCUAUUCUACUUAAAAAGAAAUACAGAAGAUGAAGAAAGAAAAAAUAAAUGUCUCUGGAUGAUGGUGGCCUAGGUCUUUAAUCCUAGCAUUCAGGAGGCAAAGGCAGGUGGAUCCCUGAGUUUGAGUCCAGCCUGGUCUCCAGAGCAAGUUCCAGGAUAGCCAGGGCUACACAGAGAAACUCUACCUUGAAAAAGCAAACAAAAACAGAAACAAAACAAAUCAAAGGUACAAACCAGUUUCCUUAGACUUAGAGAAUUCCGGUCUCUCUGUGGAUCCUGAGCCUUCUGAGAGGCCUAAGAAGAACUUUGCAGAUAUUCUUUGCAUGCUAAAGAAACUGAGGCUCCGAGAGACUUGGGGCUACAUAGCUGGUUCCUUCACCACAGUUCCGAGGUUUUCUGCCAUCUCCUCCCCACUCCUCCUUGUGGCUUUGCUUCGUGUCCAUUAGAAGGGGAAAGAAAGAAAUUUCUACUUCUUUGAAAAAGGCCAAGAUGAAGCCAAACUUCUAAAAAGACGGGAAUUCAGAUGAUUUAAUAUAAUUUCAGGACUAGCCUUGGGUUUACCAGCGGAGGGGCCAGAGGAAAGGCUCUCACAAAUAAGACUCAUUUCUACCUUCCACUGAAGGAGAUGGGAAACAAAUAUCGGCUCAGUGGGUUCCGGCUGCAGCUGAAUUCUUCAUCUGCUUAGACAAAGAACCCACAGGGAAAAGAGGAACUGAACUCUAGUCAUCAGGCUUGUGGUAAACUCUUCUACCUCUGAGCCUUCUUGGUGCCCCAAAUGUAGACGAUGUUUAAAAGAGAAAUCCAGAACCAAAGUAUCCGGUUCUCUUUGUCAGGUAUUAUCAGUACAAACAGGCUGCAGGCUCUACCCAGGCAAGCUUAGAAACCCAGCUGGAAAAGUGACUUCAUUCGAAAGCCUUCACACUGAGGACCAGGACUAUUCACCCGUGUUAAAACAAAAACAAAUAGCAUUAUCCAUCAUGGGAUCUGGUCCAGGCCAGCGCCCAUAGGAUCAGUCAACCUCUCAAACAUCCUUUUAGGAUGACUGUUCAGCUACAGUCAUGAAUUAAAGAUGUGAGGGAGAGAAGUGCCCCUCUCCGGGUGGUUAGCGCCAUGUUUGCAUCGAAAGUGUGAGGUCGCAGCCUCUCCUCCACAGGGGCUGAUAGGAUGGACUACAGUUGGUUUUAGCUGUUGCUGUUCUGACAAACAGUUUUUAAAAUUUGAUUUUUUAAAAAGGCAAAUAAAAAGGAAAAUGGCUCCAGUGGAAGAAGGGAGGCAAAUUAUAGCUAAAUCACACUCUAAAAGAGCAACAACAAUCCAGAACUUUCUAUUUUCUGAUGCCGAGUCUGAUUACGUCCACUGGGUGCCUUCGUGGCUUGUUUUACCAUUCUGCCUACGAGUAUACUUCCAUGUCUCUGAUGAAGCGGUCUGUCUCCAUCUUGGGCUUGGAAACCAUCUCAUAGUAAAGAUAAACUCGAUUCACUCCUGUUUAUGAUUAAACCUCUGUUUCUCAAGGAUUGGGCUAUGACCCACCAGUAACCUUAACUGCAAAUGGUUCUGAAUUGCCUGUUCUGGGAAAUGUCAAUCAUGCCCUUGUUUCAAAAUGUUAUUAUGAACAACUUCUUAUGACUGCCUUGCAGCCAUGUGUCUGUUUCAGGAGGCUGUUAUGUUCUGUUGCUGUAACUCUCAGCUAUUUGCCUACCACAUUAGGAAACCCCCUACUCCCCAACUAUAAAAACCCUUAUCCUAUCCAUAUCUAAUUCUGAUCUCUGGGACUCUGCCUUUAGGGAGAGACAGCCCAUGAACAGGAAUAAACAAAAUCUUGCCUUAAUUAA